rnacentral:rRNA from 1 species
AUACGGAGGGUGCAAGCGUUGUUCGGAAUUACUGGGCGUAAAGCGCGUGCAGGCGGUAAGGUAAGUCAGAUGUGAAAGCCCCGGGCUCAACCCGGGAAGUGCAUUUGAUACUGCCUUUCUUGAGUAUGGGAGAUGAGAGUGGAAUUCCCAGUGUAGAGGUGAAAUUCGUAGACAUUGGGAGGAACACCCGUGGCGAAGGCGACUCUCUGGACCAAUACUGACGCUGAGACGCGAAAGCGUGGGGAGCGAACAGGAUUAGAAACCCGGGUAGUCC